UACGUAGGGUGCAAGCGUUAAUCGGAAUUACUGGGCGUAAAGCGUGCGCAGGCGGUUUUGUAAGUCUGUCGUGAAAUCCCCGGGCUCAACCUGGGAAUUGCGUUGGAGACUGCAAGGCUGGAGUCUGGCAGAGGGGGGUAGAAUUCCACGUGUAGCAGUGAAAUGCGUAGAGAUGUGGAGGAACACCGAUGGCGAAGGCAGCCCCCUGGGUCAAGACUGACGCUCAUGCACGAAAGCGUGGGGAGCAAACAGG
rnacentral:rRNA from 1 species